GGCGUGCGGGGUGCUAUACAUGCAGUCGAGCGGACAGAAGGGAGCUUGCUCCCGGAUGUUAGCGGCGGACGGGUGAGUAACACGUGGGUAACCUGCCUGUAAGACUGGGAUAACUCCGGGAAACCGGAGCUAAUACCGGAUAGUUCCUUGAACCGCAUGGUUCAAGGAUGAAAGACGGUUUCGGCUGUCACUUACAGAUGGACCCGCGGCGCAUUAGCUAGUUGGUGAGGUAACGGCUCACCAAGGCGACGAUGCGUAGCCGACCUGAGAGGGUGAUCGGCCACACUGGGACUGAGACACGGCCCAGACUCCUACGGGAGGCAGCAGUAGGGAAUCUUCCGCAAUGGACGAAAGUCUGACGGAGCAACGCCGCGUGAGUGAUGAAGGUUUUCGGAUCGUAAAGCUCUGUUGUUAGGGAAGAACAAGUGCAAGAGUAACUGCUUGCACCUUGACGGUACCUAACCAGAAAGCCACGGCUAACUACGUGCCAGCAGCCGCGGUAAUACGUAGGUGGCAAGCGUUGUCCGGAAUUAUUGGGCGUAAAGGGCUCGCAGGCGGUUUCUUAAGUCUGAUGUGAAAGCCCCCGGCUCAACCGGGGAGGGUCAUUGGAAACUGGGAAACUUGAGUGCAGAAGAGGAGAGUGGAAUUCCACGUGUAGCGGUGAAAUGCGUAGAGAUGUGGAGGAACACCAGUGGCGAAGGCGACUCUCUGGUCUGUAACUGACGCUGAGGAGCGAAAGCGUGGGGAGCGAACAGGAUUAGAUACCCUGGUAGUCCACGCCGUAAACGAUGAGUGCUAAGUGUUAGGGGGUUUCCGCCCCUUAGUGCUGCAGCUAACGCAUUAAGCACUCCGCCUGGGGAGUACGGUCGCAAGACUGAAACUCAAAGGAAUUGACGGGGGCCCGCACAAGCGGUGGAGCAUGUGGUUUAAUUCGAAGCAACGCGAAGAACCUUACCAGGUCUUGACAUCCUCUGACACCCUAGAGAUAGGGCUUUCCCUUCGGGACAGAGUGACAGGGGUGCAUGAUGUCGUCAGCUCGUGUCGUGA
rnacentral:rRNA from 1 species